rnacentral:rRNA from 1 species
ACUUUUACAAUGAAGAGUUUGAUCCUGGCUCAGGAUGAACGCUAGCUACAGGCUUAACACAUGCAAGUCGAGGGGCAUCAGGAAGAAAGCUUGCUUUCUUUGCUGGCGACCGGCGCACGGGUGAGUAACACGUAUCCAACCUGCCCUUUACUCGGGGAUAGCCUUUCGAAAGAAAGAUUAAUACCCGAUGGCAUAAUGAUUCCGCAUGGUUUCAUUAUUAAAGGAUUCCGGUAAAGGAUGGGGAUGCGUUCCAUUAGGUUGUUGGUGAGGUAACGGCCCACCAAGCCUUCGAUGGAUAGGGGUUCUGAGAGGAAGGUCCCCCACAUUGGAACUGAGACACGGUCCAAACUCCUACGGGAGGCAGCAGUGAGGAAUAUUGGUCAAUGGGCGAUAGCCUGAACCAGCCAAGUAGCGUGAAGGAUGAAGGCUCUAUGGGUCGUAAACUUCUUUUAUAUAAGAAUAAAGUGCAGUAUGUAUACUGUUUUGUAUGUAUUAUAUGAAUAAGGAUCGGCUAACUCCGUGCCAGCAGCCGCGGUAAUACGGAGGAUCCGAGCGUUAUCCGGAUUUAUUGGGUUUAAAGGGAGCGUAGGUGGACUGGUAAGUCAGUUGUGAAAGUUUGCGGCUCAACCGUAAAAUUGCAGUUGAUACUGUCAGUCUUGAGUACAGUAGAGGUGGGCGGAAUUCGUGGUGUAGCGGUGAAAUGCUUAGAUAUCACGAAGAACUCCGAUUGCGAAGGCAGCUCACUGGACUGCAACUGACACUGAUGCUCGAAAGUGUGGGUAUCAAACAGGAUUAGAUACCCUGGUAGUCCACACAGUAAACGAUGAAUACUCGCUGUUUGCGAUAUACAGUAAGCGGCCAAGCGAAAGCAUUAAGUAUUCCACCUGGGGAGUACGCCGGCAACGGUGAAACUCAAAGGAAUUGACGGGGGCCCGCACAAGCGGAGGAACAUGUGGUUUAAUUCGAUGAUACGCGAGGAACCUUACCCGGGCUUAAAUUGCAGUGGAAUGAUGUGGAAACAUGUCAGUGAGCAAUCACCGCUGUGAAGGUGCUGCAUGGUUGUCGUCAGCUCGUGCCGUGAGGUGUCGGCUUAAGUGCCAUAACGAGCGCAACCCUUAUCUUCAGUUACUAACAGGUCAUGCUGAGGACUCUGGAGAGACUGCCGUCGUAAGAUGUGAGGAAGGUGGGGAUGACGUCAAAUCAGCACGGCCCUUACGUCCGGGGCUACACACGUGUUACAAUGGGGGGUACAGAAGGCAGCUAGCGGGUGACCGUAUGCUAAUCCCAAAAGCCUCUCUCAGUUCGGAUCGAAGUCUGCAACCCGACUUCGUGAAGCUGGAUUCGCUAGUAAUCGCGCAUCAGCCACGGCGCGGUGAAUACGUUCCCGGGCCUUGUACACACCGCCCGUCAAGCCAUGGGAGCCGGGGGUACCUGAAGUACGUAACCGCAAGGAUCGUCCUAGGGUAAAACUGGUGACUGGGGCUAAGUCGUAACAAGGUAGCCGUACCGGAAGGUGCGGCUGGAACACCUCCUUUCU